rnacentral:tRNA from 1 species
AAAUAAUGAGCUUGUUUUUAAGUAUAUAUUUUGAAAAUAUAAGAAAGAAUUUAAGAAAUUUUAUUAUUUU